ACAUGCAAGUCGAGCGGAAAGGCCCUUCGGGGUACUCGAGCGGCGAACGGGUGAGUAACACGUGAGCAACCUGCCCCAGGCUUUGGGAUAACCCCGGGAAACCGGGGCUAAUACCGAAUAUGACCUCCGAUCGCAUGGUUGGUGGUGGAAAGUUUUUCGGCUUGGGAUGGGCUCGCGGCCUAUCAGCUUGUUGGUGGGGUGAUGGCCUACCAAGGCGACGACGGGUAGCCGGCCUGAGAGGGCGACCGGCCACACUGGGACUGAGACACGGCCCAGACUCCUACGGGAGGCAGCAGUGGGGAAUAUUGCACAAUGGGCGGAAGCCUGAUGCAGCGACGCCGCGUGAGGGAUGACGGCCUUCGGGUUGUAAACCUCUUUCAGCAGGGACGAAGCGUAAGUGACGGUACCUGCAGAAGAAGCGCCGGCCAACUACGUGCCAGCAGCCGCGGUAAGACGUAGGGCGCGAGCGUUGUCCGGAUUUAUUGGGCGUAAAGAGCUCGUAGGCGGCUUGUCGCGUCGACUGUGAAAACCCGCAGCUCAACUGCGGGCCUGCAGUCGAUACGGGCAGGCUAGAGUUCGGUAGGGGAGACUGGAAUUCCUGGUGUAGCG
rnacentral:rRNA from 1 species